rnacentral:rRNA from 1 species
UACUCCUACGGGAGGCAGCAGUAGGGAAUCUUCGGCAAUGGGGGCAACCCUGACCGCGCACCGCCGCGUGAGUGAAGAAGGUCUUCGGAUCGUAAAACUCUGUCUUAGAGAAGAACGUUAAGUAGAGUGGAAAAUUCCUUAAGGACGUCCACCAGAUCCCUGG